rnacentral:rRNA from 1 species
UGGGGAAUAUUGGACAAUGGGCGCAAGCCUGAUCCAGCCAUGCCGCGUGAGUGAUGAAGGCCCUAGGGUUGUAAAGCUCUUUCACCGGUGAAGAUAAUGACGGUAACCGGAGAAGAAGCCCCGGCUAACUUCGUGCCAGCAGCCGCGGUAAUACGAAGGGGGCUAGCGUUGUUCGGAUUUACUGGGCGUAAAGCGCACGUAGGCGGACUAUUAAGUCAGGGGUGAAAUCCCGGGGCUCAACCCCGGAACUGCCUUUGAUACUGGUAGUCUUGAGUUCGAGAGAGGUGAGUGGAAUUCCGAGUGUAGAGGUGAAAUUCGUAGAUAUUCGGAGGAACACCAGUGGCGAAGGCGGCUCACUGGCUCGAUACUGGCGCUGAGGUGCGAAAGCGUGGGGAGCAAACAGG